ensembl:lncRNA
UUUUUGUCUAGGAAGUGCAGGAUGUACACACUGCUGUGGUGCCUGGAUUCUGUGGCUGUGGUGGCUGAACCUGGUUGUGCCAGCAUGCUUUGUUUCACUCAGCACAGUAGAAUAUGUCAAGCGGUAAUUCUUGUGGAUGCCCCCUAAGCUACUUUGCUUCUACCUUGCUAUUAGAGGGCUAUGAGCACAGAGAUAAAUUUGCUGCUCCAGGUACUUUAGAGAGGUCUCUCAAUUCCUCUCUUCUGGCAUCAGAGAUGGAGCAUCCCCCGAGGAAAACCCUGAAAGUCCUGGGAACGCCGUGCACAGAGGCUGCCGUGACUGGAGGCCUUCUCGGCAGUGACAUAUAAAACUCUGAGGUCAGGGGGCACAGCGAGAGGAGGAAUCAGCUUUGUUUCCGCUAUGUGUUGCUGAAAGCUAAACCUUUAUGGAACUUUUCGAGCUGCAUUUUUGGCUAUUUAGCUUGGAAAACAAAAGAUUUAUUUAUUUUUUCCUAUUCAUCGCAGUUUUUGUCCUAAGCUGACAGCAGUGACAUAAGAAGGACCCUCCCUGCUCUGAGCUGGAGUUGUGCAUGCUCCAUCAACCAUCACUGCUUCAGAACAAAUAUUAUACGAUCUUUAAGGGAAAGGAGAAGAACAGAAAAAUGAUCGCUGAGGGCCAAUGUAAACACUCAUGACAUAAAUUCAUUCUUCCAAAUAAGAAAAGUAAAAAUCUCCCUGGCAAGUAAAAUACAUUGAUCAGAACAUAUACAGUACUAGAUGGUGUCCAGAAAUCCAGCUGUGUGUCUUCACAAUCCACUCAGCUUCAGAUCAAACCAGAGCAAUAUUCCCAAGGACACGGGGUGAUACAGCUGGAGGUUGGCUUGCCUCCUAGAUAACCCUGAGCAGUGCUGAAUAAUUCUUUGAACUCAAAGCAAUUUGCGACUGUGUUCAGAAAUAACACACAAACUUGCCAAAAUCCAGGAGUGUAUCAGCAACCAAAGUGUAUUUUUCCAGUGCCUGUAAUGAUAAGCUGAUGCAGAGUUCUGUUUUCUCUUUGGAGCAGAGCUAGCACUUGCGGUAUGCUAGAGGAUUUCCCAUGCCAAAGAUGCAAUUCAUGUCCUAAAGAGUGUGCAGUCAAGAAUAAUGUUUUAAAAUCUUUGUCCUUUAUCAAAGGAUCUGGAUAGACUUCAAAGAACAUUUUAAUCCCUAUCUUAAAGCUGGAAAAGCUCAGGCAAGGAGGAAUGACAUGGCUUCCCCAAGGUGAUCUGCUGAGUUGGUGUCAGAUAGGGAGGAAGAUCCUGUGUUUCCUGCCUGCUGCAUGGAUGCUGUGUCUCAUCGUGCUGGCAAGGUCAGUGCCACGUGCUGUGCAGACCAGACCGAUGUGCUGGUUGCAGACUUUAAGUGAGAGAUGCUGAAUACUGUUUACAAAUGUGGGACUUGUUGUGGGGCACAGGACAUAUUCAAGCUCAACAGCCCAAACAGUCUUGUGGUUGCUGCAAGUCAUUGCAAUUCUUCAACAUUUUAGAGUUUGAAGAGUACCACCACAUGAGAUCAGCAUCUUAGGUUAGGUGACUGCAGUGAUUUUGGUCCAGAGCCCUAAAACUAAAUGUAGAUCCAUAUCCUGGAAGUAAUUCUGUGAUACACAGCCAACUGUGCUUAAAGGAAAGAGCUUCAGAUAGAACCUGUCCUUGUACUUGCAAGAUCUAGUAUGUGUAUUUGUGCAGCAAGGUCUCAAGUAAAAAUCUUGUUAGAUCACAGAAGGUUUAAUAGGUUUCAUCAAGCUGCAGCUGUCUUGUUCAGUGCUUCUCAGAGGAGAUGGCAGCAGUACAAUUUUUCCAGGACACAGGAAUGAGAAGCAGCUGUAGCUAAUAACUGCAGGUAUACACAUGUAUCUGUAAUUAGAGGUAGUUUACAGUUUCCUGGCUUUAAGUGAUUGCAACUGAUAUUUAUUCUUGCUUUUCACCCGUCUUUGGAGGAACUGGACUACUGCUGUCUGGUCCAGUUGGUGGUGAGCAAGAUGGAAAUAGCAUCAAUCGAUUUUAAUGGAGUUUCUUAAAUGUGUACAAUGUGAAAAUACAACUAUUUGCUAAAAAUCAGGUUACUCAUUUCAAAUGGAAGUGUUUGGCUAUGAAUGUAUUUUGAAUACCGUGUUGCAUGAUGACAAACAACUCCAGAAGAGAUCAGAAUUACUGUACAUUUGAAAAAAAUUAUUCAAACUGUGUGGAAAGAAUGCAGCAAUUGUCUGUUCAGGCAGUUGUCCUCAGGGCAGCGUUUUGUGAAUAUGUAAAAUAGUUAUGUAUUAAAUGGGAGGCCCAAGU